AGUGAACGCUGGCGGUAGGCCUAACACAUGCAAGUCGAACGGCAGCACAGUAAGCGCUUGCUCUUACGGGUGGCGAGUGGCGGACGGGUGAGGAAUACAUAGGAAUCUACUUUUUCGUGGGGGAUAACGGAGGGAAACUUACGCUAAUACCGCAUACGUCCUACGGGAGGAAGCAAGGGAUAAUGGGACUUUUCGUGACUGAAUGAGACGAUGUCGGAUUAGCUAGUUGGCGGGGUAAAGGCCCACCAAGGCAACGAUCCGUAGCUGGUCUGAGAGGAUGAUCGGCCACACUGGAACUGAGACACGGUCCAGACUCCUACGGGAGGCAGCAGUGGGGAAUAUUGGGCAAUGGGCGCAAGCCUGAUCCAGCAAUACCGCGUGAGUGAUGAAGGCCUUCGGAUCGUAAAGCUCUGUUAUUAGGGAAGAAAAGCAGCGUAUUAAACCCCCGCUAUUCUGACGGUACCCAAAGAGAAAGCAACGGCUAACUUCGUG
rnacentral:rRNA from 1 species